rnacentral:lncRNA from 1 species
UGAAAAAUGCCUGAGUUGGAGUUAGCUAAAUGGAGGUGUGGUUGAGUGAGAGGGGCCAUGAUUAGCAAAAGAAAGAGCUUGAGCCAAGAGGUGAAAGCAAGAAAGUGUAUCCUGAAGGACAUAGAAGGGACAAGAGGCAGGAAGGCUUUCUCUGGUAUCCUAAAGAGUUUGGGCUUGACCCUGGAUGGAGAACUGCUAGGAGAAUUUGGGUAAGGCAAAGACACAACUAUUACAUUUUAGAAAAAAAUGAUACCACUGGCAAUACAGAAAAUGUAUCAAAGUUGAAGCCACUGGGUACAUCAUGGUUCAAGUCGCUGAGAAUGAGAACUGAUAGAGACCUAAGGGGGUGGCAAGUAGAGGGGAAUUCAUGAUGAACUCAGUUUGGAAUAUGUUGAAUUCACAUAUUCAGAGAAAUGUUUAGGGUAGUGGGGAAGACAAGAUUUGGGCAUAAGAGAGAGAAGAAAAAUUUGAGAGGUUGAGAUUGUGCAGUGCUUUAUCAUAGCAUGUAUGAUCUCUUGACACAUUCUUUAUUUCAUGUCUUCCCUGACUAGAAAUAAACUUCACGAGGGUGAGAACUUUGCUUUAUUUCCACCAUCUAGAACUGUGCCUGAACCACAGGGAGCACUCAGGAAAAAUUUACUGAAAAGAUGAAUUAUUCAGAAUUGUAGUUGAAAAGGUGUCUUCAGAGGAGUUUACUUACAUGCAGUGGACAUGAAAUAGGGCAUAGAGUGAAACCGUAGGCAAAACAUUGGGUGGAUAAUGUCAUUUGAUGCCAAAAAAGAAGCACUGAGGAAUUAGGAAAAACAAGAGAUAAUGAGGUCCCAGGUGACAAUGGAAGCAGUUGUGGAAAACUGCUUUAAAUGUCAUAGAGCACUCAGAAGGAAUUCAUAAAUGACCUCAUAAAGAAGUCCACUGUGGUUUCCCUGCAGAGGUGGGAAUAGAAUCAGAGUGCUAAGGAUUGAGGGAUUAAGAGGAGGUGAUUGUAUUAUUCCUCUUUUCAGAUAAUGGAGAGAGAGAAGAGAACAGCAGUAGCCGUUGCCAGAAAUAUUGAGCAAGGCGGAUUUAUUAGAUGAAGAUAUCAAAAUACUUUCCAUUGAGGAAACAGGUUGGAGGUGGGAGGCUGUAACCAUGCUUGAUUUUGUACCACCCUAACCUUUGCUUGUAAGUAUACUUUUUGAAAACCCAUUUUAUUGAACUGAAAUGUAUUUUGUUCUGAAGGGUUGAAAAAGGCUAAAGAAGUGGGAAGGAAUUUUUGUUAAACCUUAUACAAUAAGGGAAAAUUUUCCAGCAACAUGGAAAGACAUCAGAAUUGAAAUCCUAGUGAACUACUAACUAUGUGAAAUGGACAAGUGGCUUAUUAUUCCAAUUUUACAGAAAAGAAAAAUGAGACAUAAAUGUUAACAUCUAUGUGUAUGAUGAUUACGUGAGAUAAAUUUGGGUCUCUAUUUUGAGUGUUUUGUGGGCAGGAAUGGAUUAGGACUUUCUAAAAUAUUAAAUGGGCCAAUCUAAAUAUGUGAUCAAAAUUUUUCAGAGGUAUAUUUUGUGGUAUUUACAGCAAGAUGAGAAUGUAUUUUAAAUUGAUCUUUGAUCAUAUUUUUAUCUUUUAAACAUGUUCUGCCUCAUUUUCUCUGUAAUAAUAACUAUAAUUAUAUCCAUUCCUCAUUAUAAAGCUGCUCUUUUUUCUUUUCUGACAUUCUGCCUUCAUCGACUAAUGGUGGUGAGGCUACUACCUCCUGAGGUUACUUAUAAAAUUAAAGCGAUUGGGAAGGAAUGUUACAUGCAGUCCACAUUGUAUGUGAUACCGAGAGGAGACAGGAGGGCAGAGUCCCUGAUGAGAGCUCCACCCUUAAGCCUGGACCCGUGGCCCUGAAUGAGAACAGGCAUUGCUGCUUUCCUGCCCAAAGGCUGCUUUUUCCAAAACCACCGUGGCCCACCAUGUCCCCUAUCCUGUACCUAUAAAAACCCCAAACUCCACUGGCAGAGGAAUAGAGUGGCACAGCAGAGAAGGAAAGAAUAGAAGUGUCUGAAUGUCAAAGAGGGAGCUGGACAGUCAGAGAGGAGUUUGGCUGGGGACAGCUGAGCUCCAGGGGAAGAUCAUCUUCCCACUCCAUCCCCUUUCCAGCCCCCCAACCCACAAAGAGCCACCUCCAUCAUUCAGUAAAACCUCUGCAUUCACCAUCCUUCAAGUCCAUGUGACCUGAUUCUUCUUGUACUCUGGACAAAAAUCCAGGUUCCAAGAGGGCAGGGUAUAUGUCACCCUGAUUCUCCACGGGACUGUUUAACACUUAGCCCUCUGUGGACAGCAACUGCUAAAAGAGCAUUAAUUGUAACACAUGCCCUCUGGGGCUCCAGAGGUUGUGCGCAACUGCUAGAUGCUGCCCCUGGCGCCCAAAGGCACUAGCCCUGGUUCCCAUACCCACUUACCUGCAUGCUCCCACUCCUGCAAGGGGCUUGAGUUCAGCAACAAAGCAAAACAAGCUACCACCAACCCUCCACACCCUCCCUGUGGCAAGACUCGCAAGAGGGUCAGGGAACUCUCCCCCGUCAUAUGCGUUAUUCCAGUUUAGUUACCUACAAAAUAAACUUGCCAGAAUUAGUGUUUACUACAUAAGCUAAGCACCUAUUUCAACAUGUGUGAGCUUCUAAAAAGCAAAUCAAUGCUCUUCUGUCCAAUUUUGGCCAAGGCUUCAUGAUCUCUUUCCUUAAAACAUCAACUUAAAUUUUACCAUUACUUUUCUCUCUUCCUUCCCCUUAUCCUAUUUAACUAUUAUUAGAGACAUUUUAAAAAAAUUCCUUUCCUUUUCCAUGCUUGGUUUCCUCAAUAGCGAUUUUAUAUAGAAAACAUUUGACAUUAUAGUCUAGCUUUUCAUAGUUAAAAUUAAAUAUUUCAUUAAAAAGAGGAGUCUAUUUUUUCAGACUUGUAGGGCUCUGGGAAGUGGACUUAUGAAAAAAAUGACUUUGUAUUUAUUUACAGAUAAAUAACCAUGUGUCUGUAAUUAGUAAGAGAUCCACUGUAUGUAAUUUAUCUUUUUCUUAUGUGUUACCUGUUAAAGAUGACCUUGUGUUUCCCGACAUGCUGUCAAGUGAAAGAUUUUGUAAGAAUCCUUCUAUAUUCCUACAUUAUUUUAUUGCAUUGCUCAUCAAUUUUGCAUUUUCUCCCUCUCUUAUGAUCCUAGCCUUUCCUUUAUUAGAAGUAAUUAUCUAGUUCAUAGAAAAUUGUUUAAUUUGGUUAUUUUCAUUACUUCAAAGAGAAAUUCUAAUGUAGAACGAUUUGUUUAUAUAUCUCUUGCAGACUCAAAAUACACACCACUAUUAUAAAAACCUUCCCUGCCUAGCUCAUAUUUCCCCCGACUCCUACCCCAUGGUUCCCUAGCUUAUUGAAUGUACUCAUAGCAUCUCUUUUAGUCUGUAUUGCUAUCAUGUGUUUUUCUAAUCUGUUCCCCAUAGUAACAGUGAAAUCCUUGAGGGCACGAGUCUUAUCUUUUUCAACUCUAUUUUCAGCACCUCGCAUUGUGAGUUGGUGUAAGUAGUUCAGUAAAUAACUGUAGAUGUCAAAAUAAAUAAAUGUCAGCUAAUUUUUAUGUAUAUUCAAAGAUAAAAUUUUAUUUAUUGUCAUAAUUACCUUUACCCAAUCUAUUUUUUAUUGUUUGUUUCAAAUUACACCAAUAAAAAUGUGACAAUAACCAUGCUCAUCCUUAGACUAACACCAAUGUUUAGAAGCAGUUUCACCAUAUAGUUCCAUUUUUAAAAAAUUCUAAAUAUUUGCUAUAUUCUUUAAUUGAGUCUUCCCAAAGCAAUCUUUGAACUAAUUGUUGGUUUCUCAGAUUUCUAUUUUGUUAUCUUUAAGACACUCUUUAAAUCUCAUCAAAAAUCUUCAUGGAAAUUAAUUACAUUGUACCCAAACGUUAUAAAAUCUUACCAUUUAAAGAUACUUUAGAGUUCAUUUGAACUAUUCUUCAAAGAAUUAGCAAUGAAGUUCUUUUGGAUUGAUUGAUAUUCAUGUACCCAAGAAAGAUAGGUAGAAUAUUAAUUCAUUUUAUUAUUUCCAAAGAGAAGGUGUGAAAAUAAACUAGAACACAGUUGAGUUGGCAGAACUGAGUUUGUGUUUACAAAACUGAAAAGGCUGGACCACAAUGUGGUUUACUGGUGAUAUAUUAAUUUAGAUAACAAUUAAAUCUCGGAGACUUACCAUAUUGAAAGUUUAUUUUUUGGUUUACACAAAUCUGAUAUACUGGAUAGGGGCUUUUCUCCUUUCAUUUACUCAAGGAUCCAGGUUCCAGUCCAAUAUGCACCAUUCAGCCUGGUUGCAGCAUGUUAAGCAGCCCUGGAGGCAGCAGUUGUUGGUGGCAUAUAUAAUGAGUGCUGGGUGUUAAGGAAGCAAUGGUGAAGGAGAGACACCCUCCCGACCCUCAUGGUGCUUGCAGCCUAGUGGAGCUAUGAAAAGAUAGGCAAGUGAGUCCUAUGAUUGGAGAAGUAAUGAGAAGUAAUGAGAAGCGUCUUCUAAGCAUAGGGGUAAAGACUGCAAAGACCCUGAAGGGAGAAAGUAAUGGCCAUUCUGAGAACUGAAAGUUUGCACAGUGCACAGAGGGCAUGAAGAACGAAGGAAAGAGAUUUUUUUUUUUUUUUUUUUGCCCAAGAUGGCAAGUUGCUUAAAACCUAAAGCUCCUUUCAAUUCUUUACAAUCCAAGAUUAUAUGGAAUGGACUGGGAACAAAGAGAGGGACUGGCAUUUAAAGUCUUUUAUACACUUUGGAACAAAUGUUAUUCUCCAUUCAUCCUGACACUAAAUUGGUUAGCCAAACCCAAAGAUCUACUAAUAAUCCUGCUUUGGCAUGGGAGAAUGAGUGAGAUAAGGAGGCAAUAGAGGAGAUGAAUCGACAAAUGGAAGGAAUAGAAUUCUGGUUGAUGUCCUUGUCUCUAAGCUGUAGCAGCAAGUAUUUAUCCUAAUCAUGUGGUGUUAGCACGGAGAUGAGAAAGAGAGAAAGACAACAUCAUGCUUUGCUGUCUGUGUGUGAACUGAGUAACAGCUGUGAAGGAUCAGUCACCAAAAGACUUUGAAAGAAGAGGCUUGAUUGGUCACGGUAAUGAUGCUCCCCUGGCCAUGGAAGUUUAAUUGGGAGAAAAGAACAUCUGCUUAUACGAAAACAUAUUAUAUUCAGCCAUCCCUGCCCUGACUUUGGCCUUUAAAAACAGUGGCAUUAAUUAUCUCAACAAAUGAAUCUUCGGGAUAAAAAUAAUCUAAAUAUUAUUUUACGCUUACUACAUAUUUGCAACGUGCUAAGCUCUUUAUGGUUGCUACCACAAAAAACAUUUAUAAUAUGAGGUGGGUAUUUUUAUUAUAUACAUUUUCAGUUUAAAGACAGUAACUUCAGAAUGUAACUUGUCCUAGUCACACAAAAGCAGGUGUGGACUAAAACUCAAACCCAUGAUUCUUUCACUUUAAAUGAUAUGGUUCUGAACCAUUAAAUUCGAAUGCUACUAAGAAUGGUGAAUGCUAAGCAAUGUUAAGCUACACAUUGUUAUUAUUAACAAAUAAUUUCAAAAGGGCAGGAGAGGUAGGUUAAAAAUUAAAGGGUUAAGCUGGAAUAACAUGUCAAAUUUCUCAGAGUUUUUUAUUUUCAUGAAAAAAUAUAUUUUAUAUUGCAACAGAAUGAACUUGACUUAACAGUUUAGGUAGCUGAUUGCAUAUAUUUUGAUAGUCCUAUCAUAUUUCCAACAAAUACAUUUUCUCCCCACCCCACCUGCAACUGGAGACUUCACAAGGUUAGGAACAGGCUUCACUUCAUUGUGAUGUGUGUAAGGUGACAGAGGACAUAUAACGAAUACGUGGAAGAACUAGGAAUUUGACCUUAGCUUCCAGACAUUUUGAGGAGGAUACACUAUGUCCAUCUUGCUUUCCUAUCAAGAAAAGUAUACCCAGUUUGUGCAGUAGCCCUGUACCAACAGAUACAUUACAGCAGGUUGUUUCCGUAUUUUGGCUAUUGUGAAUAGUGCUGCAAUAAACAUGGAAGUGCUGAUAUAUCUUUGAGAUCUUGACUUCAAACAAAAGAAGAAAAUCUUGCAAUAUAUGACAACACGGAUUAACCUGGAGGACAUUGUGCUUAGUGAAGUUAGCCAGUCACAGACUGACAAGUACUGCACGAUUCCACUUAUGAAGACUACAGUUCCUAUCUUCACAGGUGGCUGUUAGCUCUAAAUGAACUCAUUUAUUUUGAAAGCAUGAUUUAAAGUAUAGUUUUAAACUAUAAGCAUUUCAGAAGUGAUGACCCAUGACUCAAAUCUCAAAAAUAAAUGCUACAGUUCACAGUUGGAAUAUGGACACAAGAAAAAUAAUAGGUGAGUAAAAAAAGAAUUUUUACCACAGAACAAAAGUUUAUUAAACACAAUUAUGAAUGAAUAUUAAUGUCAACAGAGUGCUUUUUAGAUGCCUCCUAAGCUUUGUAUGCACCUAAAAGAGAUACAAGUCAGCUCAGCUGCUAAGGAAUAGGCAGACCAGAAUGCAGUCAGAGAAAUAAACAGUUGAACAGAUAAUUCCAAAAGGAUGUGAUAAGUGUUAUGGGGGGAAUUCGGAGAAAGUGCCGAGGCAUCACACAGGAGAGACCAGCUGUCCCUGGCAUAGCUGGUGGAGAUCUUAUUAAACAACGAUACUAAGGCUGACUCUUGACUAUGAAACGAAUUUCACAGAGAAACAAGCAAAAAAGCAAUAGAAAUAUUAAUUUGUGUACCCUAUUUCAUGACAAUUAUAUACAAAAACAGAACGUUCAAAGCCUUAGGCAAUAAAACUGAUAUUUCUUGCAACAGGCUUUGGCCAAAAAAGAGUGCAGUUCUGUGAUGAAUAUCAGCUUCAUCAACAUGCCCCAGGCACCGUGAUGUCCCUCCUCUGCUCUGCUGCAUAACAGGGUGGAGACCAAAUCCAACAGUAUGAACAAGCAUCCAUCAAAACCACAGUUCUAUUAUUGAGACCAUUUCUGAUUGAAUUUCCUCAGCAGACUAUCCAAGUCGUCAUGUUCAUCAAGGUAUUCAAUUUAAAUGACCAUUAAAACGAAAUUAAGUUGGUAUUAACCUUGUCUUUUCAGAUGAUGCCACUGAAAGGUAAACAUACCAUUCUGACAUGCAUGAAAAUGAAACGACAAAUUGAUACACGCAGUGCUUGGAAUGGAUGGAGUCCUUCUAAUGAGUGAUUACCUGUGGUAUAACUAUAUUGAUUGUGUUUGUACAUGUCAAAUGGGGCUGGCGAGGAUGAACUUGAAGAAAUCAAUCUUGGAACCUGCUAGGACAGCAGCCUCCUGGUUUCACAGUACUAAAUCAUGACUUCAAAAUUUUGAAGUAAAAGAAAACUGCAAAACUUUGUAAAGGUACCAGUCUCUUCCUGACACUAUUUGCCUUGGCAAAAGAUUCACUGUCAACUUAAAAGACUAACAUGUGCUCAGAUGAUGAUUUGUGGAGGACAGAUAAUUAUGAGUACAUUUAGAAAUACACACUCUUCCAAACCCUGCUCUUUCCAUAUAAUGAAGUUAUUUAUUUCUAUUUUUUAUUUAUUUUUCUAAUAAUUACAAACAUACUUUGGAGACCCACAUUCCUGUAUUAUUCUUUCAACAUACUGAAGAAGAGUUAUUUCUAUGCUUCUUUCUAUGUGUUGGGCUUAAGAUUUAUUAGAAGGAAUGUGUAAAAACAAAGGCAGCAAAGUUUCUAUUUUUAUUGGGAGUCACUCCCGGAGUAAGUGGGGAUAGUUGUGCACACACACACACACACAUUCAUGCACAAAGAAAGAGUGAUCAAGUGUAUAACACACUUUUAGCAGUGUUUUGCUGGAAGAAUAAAGUAUAACUCCUUGUCCGCCCUUUUAUUAUACUGGGGUUCACACUAAGAGAGUCUGAGGACCUGUGGAACUCCCAUUUGCAUGAAAUAACUUUUGCAUCUAUUCUGGAGGAAAACUUCCUAAGGCAGAUUUGGACAGAAAAUUGCUAUCAGCGCAAAUAAAACAAUGCAAAGCCUACUCCGGGGAACGUUGCUCUGCCACCACUACUGAAAUGGGUCAUCCCCUUGGUUUCUGAAUAAAGAAUUAUGAAACCUGGGGCUAGAAUGCUCAGGGAGGAAUUUACCAAUCCAAAUCUUCCCCUUAUGGUAGAGAACAAACUUUCAAGGUUUGUUCUCCACUGUAAGUGUGCGAGGGCUGUUAGGGACCGUAAUAUGGCUGCCGGAGACUGGUGUGUGUACCUCCUUGACUGUACGUCUCAUUUCCAGUUAUGAUUUUACAAUCAUCUCUUUCUCAACCUUUGCUUUUAAAUAUAGGAAGGUACGGCUCACCAUGGAGCGGACAUUUUCUUCAGGAGCGGUACGGUGUCUAAGAUAUGCAGAGGUUGUAUUCUAGUCCUAUAACUCAAUUCUCAAACACAUGGCUUUUAGCCAGGGAUAUCCUAAAGGAAAAUUACACUAUAUGCAACCCCUCCUUACUCCUCAAAUAUUAUCUAUAUUAAACACAGCUGAAAUUUGAGAGUGUCCUUACAGGUGAAAAUUUAACAAUUUAACAAAAGGACACUGCUGAAUGUGUGGGGACAAAGGAAGGAUGAAUCUUUCAUCAUGACAAAAGACUACUUGCCACAUUCUCCCUUAACUUAGAAAAACAGAAAAGAGGCUGGGCGUGGUGGCUCCUGCCUGUAACCUCAGCACUUUGGGAG